GAUGAACGCUGGCGGCGUGCCUAAUACAUGCAAGUCGAGCGAACGGACGAGAAGCUUGCUUUUCUGAUGUUAGCGGCGGACGGGUGAGUAACACGUGGAUAACCUACCUAUAAGACUGGGAUAACUUCGGGAAACCGGAGCUAAUACCGGAUAAUAUUUUGAACCGCAUGGUUCAAAAGUGAAAGACGGUCUUGCUGUCACUUAUAGAUGGAUCCGCGCUGCAUUAGCUAGUUGGUAAGGUAACGGCUUACCAAGGCAACGAUGCAUAGCCGACCUGAGAGGGUGGUCGGCCACACGGGAACGGAGACACGGUCCAGACUCCGACGGGAGGCAGCAGUAGGGAAUCUUCCGCAAUGGGCGAAAGCCUGACGGAGCAACGCCGCGUGAGUGAUGAAGGUCUUCGGAUCGUAAAACUCUGUUAUUAGGGAAGAACAUAUGUGUAAGUAACUGUGCACAUCUUGACGGUACCUAAUCAGAAAGCCACGGCUAACUACGUG
rnacentral:rRNA from 1 species